rnacentral:rRNA from 1 species
GGUUAAGCGACUAAGCGUACACGGUGGAUGCCCUGGCAGUCAGAGGCGAUGAAGGACGUGCUAAUCUGCGAUAAGCGUCGGUAAGGUGAUAUGAACCGUUAUAACCGGCGAUUUCCGAAUGGGGAAACCCAGUGUGUUUCGACACACUAUCAUUAACUGAAUCCAUAGGUUAAUGAGGCGAACCGGGGGAACUGAAACAUCUAAGUACCCCGAGGAAAAGAAAUCAACCGAGAUUCCCCCAGUAGCGGCGAGCGAACGGGGAGCAGCCCAGAGCCUGAAUCAGUGUGUGUGUUAGUGGAAGCGUCUGGAAAGGCGCGCGAUACAGGGUGACAGCCCCGUACACAAAAAUGCACAUGCUGUGAGCUCGAUGAGUAGGGCGGGACACGUGGUAUCCUGUCUGAAUAUGGGGGGACCAUCCUCCAAGGCUAAAUACUCCUGACUGACCGAUAGUGAACCAGUACCGUGAGGGAAAGGCGAAAAGAACCCCGGCGAGGGGAGUGAAAAAGAACCUGAAACCGUGUACGUACAAGCAGUGGGAGCACGCUUAGGCGUGUGACUGCGUACCUUUUGUAUAAUGGGUCAGCGACUUAUAUUCUGUAGCAAGGUUAACCGAAUAGGGGAGCCGAAGGGAAACCGAGUCUUAACUGGGCGUUAAGUUGCAGGGUAUAGACCCGAAACCCGGUGAUCUAGCCAUGGGCAGGUUGAAGGUUGGGUAACACUAACUGGAGGACCGAACCGACUAAUGUUGAAAAAUUAGCGGAUGACUUGUGGCUGGGGGUGAAAGGCCAAUCAAACCGGGAGAUAGCUGGUUCUCCCCGAAAGCUAUUUAGGUAGCGCCUCGUGAAUUCAUCUCCGGGGGUAGAGCACUGUUUCGGCAAGGGGGUCAUCCCGACUUACCAACCCGAUGCAAACUGCGAAUACCGGAGAAUGUUAUCACGGGAGACACACGGCGGGUGCUAACGUCCGUCGUGAAGAGGGAAACAACCCAGACCGCCAGCUAAGGUCCCAAAGUCAUGGUUAAGUGGGAAACGAUGUGGGAAGGCCCAGACAGCCAGGAUGUUGGCUUAGAAGCAGCCAUCAUUUAAAGAAAGCGUAAUAGCUCACUGGUCGAGUCGGCCUGCGCGGAAGAUGUAACGGGGCUAAACCAUGCACCGAAGCUGCGGCAGCGACACU